AACAUUUUCAUGUUUGGAAAAAGUGGCGUAUGUGGCUUGUUUUACAGAUCUUGUUUAUUUUUUAGCUUCUGAGUGUCGUUUAUGAGAAAGUGGAGAAAGAAAUGUACUAAUGCAGAAAGGGAAAAGUUAACCUGAUGGCCAUGCAUGCAGCCACCCACACGAAGGGCCGUGCACGCAGCCACACGACCAUUUCUAAGACUUAGCCGAGGACAAGGCUCUACUCUUAACCUUCACUCGUAUCAUUUAUUAUUUGUGAAAUUGCUGCAGAGACCAGAAGAUAAAGAGAUUAAUGAUGCCUUUAUGGUUCCUAAUGUAGAUUAUUAUUGAAAAUCUGUCAAUUUAACUGGCAAGCUUUUGGCUCAAAAAAUAAGGUCCUCAUUUAUAAUUUGCAGACAAUGAUCACUCAAAUUAUAGGAAGUAACUGGGAAAUAAAAAUAACUAUUAUGAUGAAAACCACAUAAUUAUCUUUCUCAUUAAGAGCAUGAGGCAUUCUAUUAUUCCUGGGAUGUGCAGCAUACUCUUUAACAGCUGUUGCAAAUGAACUAAAACAUCUGAAUGGGAAAGAAAAUGCAUUACUGAUCACUCAAACGAUGAAAAAUAAGUAGCGUUGUAAUGGCCCGAGUGCUCCAAAGCACAGCCUAGCAGGAAGUCCCUCCCACAAGAAACCACAACCAAGCCACAUGCAGACCCUUCUAGAAUCCACUUCAGCUUUCCUCCCUCACUUGUCUUAACAGAGUUCUGCUUGCUGAUGGUAGCAUGUGAUAGGAUGGUACGUCCUCUGCUCUGGUGUGGAGAUUUGGGGUUUUCUAAGAACACCUUCUUUUCUUUAGGGCUAGAAAAGUAUGAGACAUGCCAAUCCCUUUGUGAAGUUAAUCUUGGCAAUCAACUCAUCUGGACUGAGAGAUGCCUAGAGAAUUGUGAUAGCACACUUUCUAGGUGUGUCUGUAAAGGUGUUUCCUGAAAAGCUUUACAUUUUCGUCAGGGACUGAAGGGAAACACCACGCCAAAGGUGAGUCACGUUACCCAACCAGAUGUGGUCCUACGGAGCAGCAGUGGUUGUAGGCCUCCAGCCCUGGGCUGGGUUGUGUCACUGGUUCCUCCUGGGCUGGGUUGUGUCACUGGUUCCUCCUGGGCUGGGAUGUGUCACUGGUUCCUUCUGGGCUGGGAUAUGUCACUGGUCCCUCUUGCUCUGAGGCUUCCAGCUGCCUGGUGGGAGCAGCUACUGAUUCCUCAACCUAUCCAAGCACAGAUGGCCACCAUGGGCUUUGAAGCCUCUGAUUCUGUAAGCUAUCUAAUAAAUUGACUUCAUAUAUACAUUAGAUGGGUUAUUUUCCUCUCCAGAGCCUUGAGCAGCAUGUUAUUUUAAAAGUUAUUUCUAUCUGUUUGCCUCACUGAAGGAUUCUUGCUUUCUGGAGCUCCUUCUUCCAGGGAGGCCCUUUCUAGGCCCCUGCCCCCAUCUGCUUGUCCUGCUCUGUAGUGGGCUAGUGCAAAUGUACUGGUACUUGAGACUGGAGAAGCCUGGACACUGUGGUCAUCCCAUGUUAAGGAAUACACUGGAAGUCACUUUGGAUAGAAACUUGUGAAUAAGAUAUCAAGUACAAGUUUUGACAAGUCAAUACGCUCUAUGAAUAAGACACUUUUAUUUUAAUAUAAAGAGAAAAGCUUGAACAGCUAAAAUAGCUAUACAAAUUAUAAAUAGGGACUAAUCAUUUGCUGAAAUGCCUUUCCAUACUCUACCAAGAUUGGAUCAGGCACACUUUUCUACCCCCAAGUAAGUCAUCAGAGAACAUUUAAAAAAAUAUCCACAUAGUUGCUUUAAAGACUAUCUAAAACAAGAUCCACAAAUUACCGACAGCAUCUAAGAAUGGUGCGCGUUGUCUACAUGCAGAGCUAAGUGUAGGAGGAGAAAAAGUAAAGCUCAAGGCAUUUAGCUGAUUUAAAUGAAGAAAUGGUAUUCUAAGAAAAUGUGGGCUUAGGGGGCGUUUUUGACUGCUGUCAGGCAGUUUUCUUGUUUAGGAACAGUAGAUAAUAAAGUGUGUUUUAUAUCGUGUUUUUCUUACAUGAAUAUUUCAAUGGAGAGCUUAUUGUUUCCAGAGUAGAUCAACGUCCUCUUCAAUAUGAUUGCUUGGAAAGCUGGAAGUGAAUGCUAGGAGAGUUCACAUAUAUAGUUCUUUGAUUUAUCCAUAGGAAAGAGCUGAGAGAAGAUAAUUCUAUACCUAAAAUCAAUGCCCAUGGAAAAAUUAAGUAUUAGAAAGGAGCAAUAUGGUGCAAUUUCCAUGCUAUACAAUAUUAUAUAUUACAUCAUAAAAAUUUCCUGCUAUAUUGUAAUAUCUAAAGAAAGAACUAUAUCAUUGUAUGUACUUUAUGGUUGAUUUUUCUAGUGUGACUCACUAAUGUUCAUGUACAGUAAGGAAAUGAGUGUUAAAUAAGCUUGUAUCAGGGGACAGAUAAAGUCAUAGCAUAUUUAGAAGGCAUUAGGUAGUGUCUGAAGACCCAUGUCCUGACACCAAAUAUACAUAGCCUCAGCAAACCAUGCCUCGACCAUCCAUACAGUCACACAGAACCAAAUUUACAGUUAUUACCCAAAUUUGGUAUCUUAAAACAAAAUAUUUUUAUGUUAAUGCUGGAUUAAAGGCUGGGAUU
rnacentral:lncRNA from 1 species